rnacentral:rRNA from 1 species
UACCAGCACCCCGAGUGGUCGGGACGUUUAUUGGGCCUAAAGCGUCCGUAGCCGGUUCUACAAGUCUUCCGUUAAAUCCAACUGCUUAACAGGUGGGCUGCGGAAGAUACUAUAGAGCUAGGAGGCGGGAGAGGCAAGCGGUACUCGAUGGGUAGGGGUAAAAUCCGUUGAUCCAUUGAAGACCACCAGUGGCGAAGGCGGCUUGCCAGAACGCGCUCGACGGUGAGGGAUGAAAGCUGGGGGAGCAAACCGG